GCGGGAUGAGCUCAAAUUUGUAAUCUGGCGGCCUUUGGCUGUCCGAGUUGUAGUCUGGAGAAGCGUUUUCCGCGUCGGACCGUGUACAAGUCCCUUGGAACAGGGCGUCGUAGAGGGUGAGAAUCCCGUCUUUGACACGGACUGCCGAUGCUUUGUGAUGCGCUCUCGAAGAGUCGAGUUGUUUGGGAAUGCAGCUCAAAACGGGUGGUAAAUUCCAUCUAAAGCUAAAUACGGGCGAAAGACCGAUAGCGAACAAGUACCGUGAGGGAAAGAUGAAAAGCACUUUGGAAAGAGAGUUAAACAGUACGUGAAAUUGUUGAAAGGGAAACGCUUGAAGUCAGUCGCGUCUCCUGGGACUCAGCCUUGCUUCUGCUCGGUGUACUUCCUGGGGUUGACGGGCCAGCAUCGAUUUUGACCGUCGGAGAAAGGCCUUGGGAACGUGGCACCCUUUGGGUGUGUUAUAGCCCUCGGUCGUAUGCGACGGUUGGGAUCGAGGACCGCAGCAUGCCUUUUUGGCCGGGGUUCGCCCACGUACGUGCUUAGGAUGCUGGCGUAAUGGCUUUAAGCGACCCGUCUUGAAACACGGACCAAGGAGUCUAACAUGCCUGCGAGUGUUUGGGUGGUAAACCCGGACGCGCAAUGAAAGUGAAAGGUUGGGACCUCUGUCGUGGAGGGCACCGACGCCCGGACCAGACCUUUUGUGACGGUUCCGAGGUAGAGCAUGCAUGCUGGGACCCGAAAGAUGGUGAACUAUGCUUGAGUAGGGUGAAGCCAGAGGAAACUCUGGUGGAGGCUCGUAGCGAUUCUGACGUGCAAAUCGAUCGUC
rnacentral:rRNA from 1 species